UACGUAGGGGGCUAGCGUUGUCCGGAAUCAUUGGGCGUAAAGCGCGCGUAGGCGGCCCGGUAAGUCCGCUGUGAAAGUCAAAGGCUCAACCUUUGAAUGUCAGCGGAUACUGCCGGGCUAGAGUCCGGAAGAGGAGAGUGGAAUUCCUGGUGUAGCGGUGAAAUGCGCAGAUAUCAGGAAGAACACCCGUGGCGAAGGCGGCUCUCUGGGACGGUACUGACGCUGAGACGCGAAAGCGUGGGGAGCGAACAGG
rnacentral:rRNA from 1 species